AGGUUGUUUCAAACAGGGCUUAUGGGGCUUUGGAAACAGAAUAUAUUAACACUACAACCAAAGACUGACAUUCUCCACAGGAUGCUAUAGUCACUCAACAGUGUUAUGCUUUCCUGAGGAAAUGUAAGA